CAACAGGCGCUAGCCUUUAAAAGCCAGAGGCCGUGGCCGUGGCAGCCUGUCGGCCUUUGACGGGCCGUGCUGCUGAGCUCGGCCUCAGCUGUGGUGCGGGGCGAGGGGCGAGGGGCGGAACACGUUGGACGGGCCGGAGGCCGCGGCUGUGGCUGCCCCGGCGAGCGUCCCCUCCGAAGCUUCUGCAGCGUGAUCGGACGCCAGGGCCUCGCGGUUCUUGGUGCUGUGCGAGGCACCUUCUGCUGUUUGGCUGUGGCUCAGGGGAGCAGUAAGCCGAGUCUUUGGGUUUUUUUUUUUUUUAACCGGAGGUCUACCAGAAAUAGGCUGAGAAGACCCUGUGAGGAGGAGACUCACCAUGCGGCUAAUUUCCACUACUUAGGGUGAUUCCGGGACGCUGCUACAAAGCCGAAAACCGGUCACCUCGGGAGCUUUUUGAAAAGCCACACCUCAGCCCAGAGUCCGGAAGUGGGCCAUAGGGCUGAUUCUGUUCUACUGUGAAAGAAACCCCUCCGAGAUGGUGGUAACCGAAAGUGGAAGGAGCUUUCCAGUUGUCCAGAAAGAGAACCCUGGAGGUGAGUGGCCCAGAGAAUUUCUUUUGUCCACUGAAAUGACACGGAGCAUUGACAACCUAGAAAAGUCUCUAAAUAUUUUCUACUCUCAAGAACGAGAACCCUUUAGAGAAGUAGUGGAGUCCAGAUGUGAAGCAGAGAAAAGAGCCACGCAAGCCUGCACUGUUUGGUUCUGAGGUUGCAUCACGGACAAAGGAGCUGAGGAAGGAUCAAUAUGCACAUCAAAAGCAUAAUGAUGGUAAAAGUUUAGUGCACACUUGUUUCUCCAAUUUGUUGUCCCAGGAGUUCACUGUAAGAGGGAACUUCCAAAAGAGUGUGGACAAAUCCCUGACAUUGGGCUGGUGGAAACAACUAGAUAUUUAUUGGAAUGCGUAGAGCAAGAGGCCCAGCAGCUGUCACCUACCUAAUUUCUGUAUUCCCCGAGGAAGUCAGGGCAGUGCCUCUUAGGGUUCUGAGGAGUGAGCACUGCCUGAGGAGCUCUGUGCAGGCUUUGGUUGGUCCACAGUGCAUGUGACCUUCCUUUGGUCUCUGAGAGGGGCCAGCGUGUUUCCCUCUGGCUCUGCAGGCCUGCAUUUCAGCGCCACCCCCUUAUAUGUCAAUCCAGCAUGCCCGUGUUGUCUGUUGUAUCUGGUGUGCCUCAGUCUGCAGCCCCUCCCCUAUCACCUGCCUGCCUGGCUGCGCCCAGGUGGGGAAAGGGUCUGCGGAGUCCAACAGCUCUGUAAAUAAAUGUUAAAUGAU